GACGAACGCUGGCGGCGUGCUUAACACAUGCAAGUCGAACGGAAAGGCCCUGCUUUUGUGGGGUGCUCGAGUGGCGAACGGGUGAGUAACACGUGAGUAACCUGCCCUUGACUUUGGGAUAACUUCAGGAAACUGGGGCUAAUACCGGAUAGGAGCUCCUGCUGCAUGGUGGGGGUUGGAAAGUUUCGGCGGUUGGGGAUGGACUCGCGGCUUAUCAGCUUGUUGGUGGGGUAGUGGCUUACCAAGGCUUUGACGGGUAGCCGGCCUGAGAGGGUGACCGGAGGGAGUGAGACGGGGCUGAGGCCCAGAGUCCGGGGGGGGGGAGGAGUAGGAUGUAUGGGAGAGUGGGGGGAAGCAGGACGGAGGAGCGCGGGGUGGGGGGGGAGGGCGGUCGGGUUGCAGGCGGCUUGCGCGUGGGAAGGGGCGUGAGGGAAGGUAAGGGGAAAAAAAGCAUGGGCUAACGCCGUGGCAGCGGCCGCGGUAAUAGGCGGAAAAGCAGACGGCUGACC
rnacentral:rRNA from 1 species